CCCCGGGAAACUGGGGCUAAUUCUCGAUAGGUGAAGAACUCUGGAAUGAGUCUUUGCCAAAAAGACGUUUACGUUAUGCUCGUAGGCGUCGCCCAAGGAUGAGGCCGCGACCGAUCAGGUUGUUGGUGAGGUAAUGGCUCACCAAGCCUUUUACCGGUGCGGGCCGUGAGAGCGGGAGCCCGGAGAUGGGCACUGAGACAAGGGCCCAGGCCCUACGGGGCGCAGCAGUCGCGAAAACUUUGCAAUACACGAAAGUGUGACAGGGCUAUCCCGAGUGCCAUCCGCUGAGGAAGGCUUUUACCCAGUCUAGAACGCUGGGGGAAUAAGGAGAGGGCAAGUCUGGUGUCAGCCGCCGCGGUAAUACCAGCUCUCCGAGUGGUGUGGAUGUUUAUUGGGCCUAAAGCAUCCGUAGCUGGCUGAGUUAGUCCCUUGUUAAAUCCACCGAAUUAAUCGUUGGAUUGCGGGGGAUACUGCUCGGCUAGGGGACGAGAGAGGCAGACGGUAUUUCCGGGGUAGGGGUGAAAUCCUAUAAUCCCGGGAAGACCACCAGUGGCGAAGGCUGUCUGCUAGAACGCGCCCGACGGUGAGGGAUGAAAGCUGGGGGAGCGAACCGGAUUAGAUACCCGGGUAGUCCCAGCUGUAAACGAUGCAGGCUAGGUGUUUGGACGGCCACGUGCCGUUCUAGUGCCGCAGGGAAGCUGUUAAGCCUGCCGCCUGGGGAGUACGAUCGCAAGAUUGAAACUUAA
rnacentral:rRNA from 1 species